rnacentral:tRNA from 1 species
GGAGAGAUGGGUGAGCGGCUGAAACCGCACGCUUGGAAAGCGUGUUAUGGGUAACACUAUACGAGGGUUCGAAUCCCUCUCUCUCCGCCA